rnacentral:tRNA from 1 species
GACCGCGUAGCUCAAUUAGCAGAGCAUUGGGCUAGUAUUCCAAAGGUCGUAGGUUCGAUUCCCACCUUGGUCA